GGGAUCAUUACACAAAUAUGAAGGCGGGCUGGAACCUCUCGGGGUUACAGCCUUGCUGAAUUAUUCACCCUUGUCUUUUGCGUACUUCUUGUUUCCUUGGUGGGUUCGCCCACCACUAGGACAAACAUAAACCUUUUGUAAUUGCAAUCAGCGUCAGUAACAAAUUAAUAAUUACAACUUUCAACAACGGAUCUCUUGGUUCUGGCAUCGAUGAAGAACGCAGCGAAAUGCGAUAAGUAGUGUGAAUUGCAGAAUUCAGUGAAUCAUCGAAUCUUUGAACGCACAUUGCGCCCUUUGGUAUUCCAAAGGGCAUGCCUGUUCGAGCGUCAUUUGUACCCUCAAGCUUUGCUUGGUGUUGGGCGUCUUGUCUCUAGCUUUGCUGGAGACUCGCCUUAAAGUAAUUGGCAGCCGGCCUACUGGUUUCGGAGCGCAGCACAAGUCGCACUCUCUAUCAGCAAAGGUCUAGCAUCCAUUAAGCCUUUUUUCAACUUUUGACCUCGG
rnacentral:rRNA from 1 species